rnacentral:rRNA from 1 species
UACGUAGGGGGCAAGCGUUGUCCGGAAUCAUUGGGCGUAAAGCGCGUGUAGGCGGUUCGGUAAGUCGGCUGUGAAAGUCCAGGGCUCAACCCUGGGAUGCCGGUCGAUACUGCCGGACUAGAGUUCGGAAGAGGCGAGUGGAAUUCCCGGUGUAGCGGUGAAAUGCGCAGAUAUCGGGAGGAACACCAAUGGCGAAGGCAGCUCGCUGGGACGUUACUGACGCUGAGACGCGAAAGCGUGGGGAGCAAAUAGG